UUACACAAGCCGGAGCGGCUGCCGCCUCACUAUUGCUGGAAGCUUUACAAGUGAGUUCAAGCUUUAUCACUUCCGAUUUGUCAACUCGGUAUUAAUUCUUGUUCACUUUGUGCUUUCUAGGGUUCUUCUAUGGAAAUAUCACAGUCAGUGACAACUCGACCGGAUGCCAACACGCCCCUGCCUCCAUCCAUUGAGGUACGGUACUUGUCUUAUGGACUCCCUUCGGGUAUUUGCAUACCAUAUUUAACCG
rnacentral:lncRNA from 1 species